rfam:Streptomyces subrutilus strain 10-1-1 1, whole genome shotgun sequence.
GCGUGGGUCGGCCCGCUGCGCGGAUCGGGCGGGCCGGGGGAUGCCGCUACCUCAAUCCCCGCGGGUGGCGGAACGGUCCGGGGGGCGGAUUCCGCCUCCCGGACCGCG